GUUGAGUUUCGGACAAGGGCAUGGGUGUCUGAGUUACCAUCAGCAUCUGGCAGUGUUACGGAUGCAGGAGAUGGUGAUCCGCUGGAAGAUACUGUGCCAGAUAAUGUGCUGGAAGCUGGAGCUGUUGAGCAAUGCAGUUCUGCCCCUUGCCCAGACCCAGAGACUGUUACAUCCCCUGACUCUGUCCUGCCUACUGACCCUAUGGUGACUGAAGUUGACACUGUUCCUGACCGUAGAUCCCGAGCUGGACGGUUACUGAGACCAGUGUCUAGACUUAUUGAAAUUAUGCACUAGUGACUUGCGUCGGUCUUUGGAGUUUUUGGUGUUGGAAUACAGUUUUGUUUUCCAUUUUUAUUUUAUGAGAGGUUUGCAACAUUUUUGUAAUGUUGUCAUUUUGAGUUGUCAUUUGAAAUUAAUUGACAUGGGUCUAGUCUAUUCUGAGGUGUAUUACAGUUACAUAUGUAUAGAAUAUGUAGGUGGGCAUAUUCUUUUUCCUUAUGUGUGUAGAUGGGAUUUGGCCAGUCCUUUUUCUCACGCUAAUCUUUUUGAUGGUUUUCGUAACUGGGUGUGUAGCUGUAAUGGUAAUUAAGUAUUCCUCAUUAGCAUAUUGGGAACAGUGGUGAUUGGUUUCCUGUACUCGAGAAUUGUGCCUGGUAUUUUGUGUAAUUCUAGGGGGGUGAAUGUAACAUGUUCAUUAUUUAUAAUAUAAUUACACAAAAUUGUUCUUUUAUUUGUCACUGUUUCAUACCUGGCUUUUGAUUUGCUGUGCUGCUUUGGUCCUUCAGCCCCUUCUUCUGUAUUUUUAUUUAAUUUCUUCUUCGUGUGUCCCCCGGCUGCACCUGUAUAAAUACGAGGGUCGCGACUUCCUCUUCCCUUUUUGUAAAUCCCGUGUUGGGAAGAGUUUUGGGCUGGAUCGACACUUAAGCACAUGUUAAUCAUAUCUAUUAUUGUCAACCAGGUAUGUUGUCCCUUUUUGUAAAUCCCGUGUUGGGAAGAGUUUUGGGCUGGAUCGACACUUAAGCACAUGUUAAUCAUAUCUAUUAUUGUCAACCAGAUUAAACGGAGAGCGCCUCCGAACGUU